UGUGGGUUUGGCUCCGGGGCUGAGGCCGGGUGAGCUGCCUUGUGGGACGCUGCCUGCCUCCUCGCGGCCUUUCGGUGCCUACCCCGUGAGGAGCUAUCCGUGCUGCUGCACGGCCCCUCCGCACCUACUGCGGGAAAGGCGGCUCUAGUGGGGGCCUGAUUCGCCAUGCCCAGCUUGCCUGUGGGUGGUUCGUCUCCUCCUUCGCAGUAGCUCCUUGCCCAAGGGAGAGCACUCAUUGAAUUUGGAUGGGUCUGUGGCCCCAGGUCCUGCUCUCUCAGUUUCAAAGAGUAAACAGAAGAGAACAUAAGGAUGCAACUUGAUCCUGAAAUUAAAUUUCUACAACAUUUUUUUAUGCCAAAACUGUUUUUUCUAUGAAGUGCCCAUGCUUCCCUUUUCCAGUUUUCUUUCAAGAACCAGCAAAAAACACCUUGGCCUUAAGUGUGGGGCACAAACAUUCAGCACGUGCAACACUUAAUCCUAGGCUGGCUUGUUAGCAGAGGGAAUAACAGGGAUAACAGCUAAGUUUUCCUAUGUGAAUUCAUCCUGCCAUUAAAUAUUUUCCUCACAGUCAGAAGCAAAGGACCAGUGGGUACCCCCUCAGUGUGAAACUGAGUGGGAAGUACAGACAGACCUGCCAGCAGCCUACAGGAGCCUGCAGUCCUGCCUGAGCAGGACACUGCCCAUGCUCUGCUGCCUUCCUACUGUCUCCUGCUGCAUCCUGGAGAAGCCAAAGCACAGAAUGACCACAGCAGGACACCUGGCACAUGCUGACACAGCUGGAAAUCCUGGCUGUGCCCUGCUGCUGUGUAAAGUUCCCCCAGUCAGCUGCAACAGGGCAGGAUGAGAGCUGAAGUUUUAGUGACACUGGUUGUGUUUGGCUGGGGAGUCCUGUACCAUCAAGAAGCUAUUCUGGAGACUUUGCCUGCCUGCAUUCAAAAAAAAUGGAAGAAAAUUCAUAAUAUCCUCGGUAAUUCAAGUCACCUGCUCCAAGGGACACUUCAAGGGACAGAAUUUUAGGCCGCUUUUAUUUCUUUCUGACAGAGGAGGGAGCUGUCAGCUCAGCAUUGAGCUUUUCAGCGGGCAGAGGUGCCCACCUGGCAGCUGGCUGAGCUGUCUGGGCAGCCCACUGAAGGGACAUGUUCAGCUUGAUGUGCAGGAGAUAGAGCUAAUUUGGAAGUGCUUAAAUAUUCUGUUUUAAGUGCAUGUAUGGGGUGUUUGUGUCCCUGUACAAUGAAAACCACAGUCAUGAGUCUGCAAGGCCAGUGGGAGCAGUGGGCCUGAGAAGCUGUUUGGAGGUGGAACAUUUGGCAGUGGGAUCUUGCAGUUUUUGUUGCUGUAGCAGUGUCCCUCUCUGUUCUAUCAAGAGUCCCCGGAAACCUGGGCAACACCUUCCUGCCAGUGUCCAGAGCCAGAGCACCCUCCUCUGUGCCACAGCAAUGCAAGCAGCCCUUUUAUCUGGGAGACCUGCCAGGCAGCAGAAACAGCCUUCCUGCCUCAGCCAGUGGCAGUGUUGGGAGGUAUGGCUUAAUUACAGCCCUGAAAUAAAACGAAUUUCUUCAUUAGAUGUUGCUUUACAACUGCAUCAGUCAUCUUCUGUCCAGCAGCUGGUGGCAGAGCUCCAAGUGGGCUGAAUGAGGCUGGUUUGGCAGGUAUGUGGAGUGGUGGUGGUUGG